ACCACCGUUCGCGAAGGCUCUCAGCUCACGCGAUCAGUGAAUCAGUCUAAUUUGACCAACUUCCGAGGUCAGUGCACGUCCGUGUUUAUGUGAGCCUUCAUAAGCUGGUAUUUGACGGAUUAGCACUGAUAUCGAGGAAGUGAAUGCUCCAGCUGCGGUCGAAUAAUAAUUAAAACUUAUGCGUACUGCGUACCUAGACAACGCUUUCUAUAGCGUCUGUGUUCUUUUUUGAAAUAAUGUGCCAAUACUUUUUAUUAUUUUACUUUGUCAGGAUUGUGAUUUUUUACCUAGUCCCGAGAUGAAAGUUAACAAUUUUCCUCGUUAGGGUAUAAUCAUUGUAUGAUUAUUUUGUUUCAUGUUUUAUUUGUUAUCAAACCUCUUGUAUCGGAUAUAAGUUUUUGUUUGUUCAUGUUUACUUAAUUUUACUAUUUGCUAUACUUCUAUACUCUUGUGAGUACAUCUGUACAAUUGAGGUAUGCGUAUAUGUAAAAGACUGUAUGUUUAUUUAUACAUCCCAGUCAACAUUCACACAGUUACAUCGUUGGCAUAAUAAAAUGUCCGCAUCAACGAUACAGACAAACUGGUAUAUAAAAAACUACUGUUAUGUUUCGGAUACAUUGUUAAAGCGGAUAUUUCGAUACGUGUGCAAUGUAACUAUUGUCAUUGUUGCCUUGGAUGAAAGUACCUUAUAAUAAAUAUAUAUCAUGUUUCGCAAAGGUGUGUGCUUUAUCUCAUUUAGUUGUCCUGUAUUUCUCAUAAGAAUACAUAGGUGUGGAUGUAAAAUAAUUAAUAUCAUUUAAUUGGUGCAAGUUACCAUUACUGAAAUAGCUAAGAAUGUGAGCGUUGCUGUAUCAUCUAACCCCUGAGAUAAGUCCAUAUUGACCAUACAAGAAGCUUUUAACAGCUUGUGUAUUAAUAUAGUACAUGAAAAAUUAUACCGAAAACAUAUUCUCAAGUUGGUUGUUACACGUUUAUCGGAACCGCGUGAUAUUCGAUUAAGUGUAUUCAAUUAAACGUAUAAUAAUUGUUUACGGAUAUCGUUUUUACGUUAAAUCAACACACAUUAAGUACGUGUAUUAUUAUGAAAAAAAUUUUCCAAUGAACACGCUUAUUAAACGUGUUUGAACCACGAAAAAUGGUGGCUAUAACAGGUAUAUAUUAAACGUCUACGUUAACAUUUAAAUUGCGUUCUUUCAUACUUGUUUCAUUACGUUUCUGAAAACCGUAAUUUCGACGUUUACUUCAACCGUGGAAUAUCCGGAUCAUAAUCACUAACAGAAAACGUUGAUGAGC
rnacentral:lncRNA from 1 species